rnacentral:rRNA from 1 species
GAUGAACGCUGGCGGCGUGCCUAACACAUGCAAGUCGAGCGAAUGGAUUAAGAGCUUGCUCUUAUGAAGUUAGCGGCGGACGGGUGAGUAACACGUGGGUAACCUGCCCAUAAGACUGGGAUAACUCCGAGAAACCGGGGCUAAUACCGGAUAACAUUUUGAACCGCAUGGUUCGAAAUUGAAAGGCGGCUUCGGCUGUCACUUAUGGAUGGACCCGCGUCGCAUUAGCUAGUUGGUGAGGUAACGGCUCACCAAGGCAACGAUGCGUAGCCGACCUUGGAGGGUGAGCGGCCACACGGGGACUGAGACACGGCCCAGACUCCUACGGGAGGCAGCAGUAGGGAAUCUUCCGCAAUGGACGAAAGUCUGACGGAGCAACGCCGCGUGAGUGAUGAAGGCUUUCGGGUCAUAAAACUCUGUUGUUAGGGAAGAACAAGUGCUAGUUGAAUAAGCUGGCACCUUGACGGUACCUAACCAGAAAGCCACGGCUAACUACGUGCCAGCCGCCGCAGUAA